UUAAGCCUACCCUACUGCCUACGUAUCUAAAAUCAAUCUCCCUUUUGCUUGGACUUUCAAUCGAACAUAUGGAGUGUGUGUGAGAGAGAGUUUCUUUUUAGAACUGAGACGGGGAUGGUUUUUCGUAUCAAACAUGGAUAGGGGGGGCAAGGGCCAAGCAGGGUGGGGAUGACAAAGCUGGACAAAUAAAGGAGCAAGCGAGCGAUGAAAAGAAUAAGAAAAGCGUCCUCAUCUCCUUGGCCUUGGUUUUUCAAGCAUUGGGUCACAGGACAUGUGGAGAGUCUGGAGAUGGAGCCUGGAGGGAGGGAUAGAUCACAGCCGAAAAUUAAAGAAAAAGCCGUCCUCCAUCCUAACCCCAUCCAUGGUGGAAAAGGAGAGAACUUGACAAAGUAAAUAUGUUACUUUACGCAAACCAACCUGCUGGGUGGCCAUAUUAGUUCAGCAUGGGGAACUGCCUCUGCCUCAAUCAGAAUACCAGUCCUUCAGCGUCAUCUUGAGGACGACGACCACGGACCACCCAACCUAGCCUCUUUCCCCGGAUCCUCGGUGUCAUUCUUUUCUUGGGCGAGCAGUACAAGCAACGAUGAACAAAAGUUUGAGAGUUUCAUUGGGGGGAUUCACUUCAUGGAUUCAUUUUACCUGAAAUACCCGCGGCUCUCUCUCACUCUCUAACAUCAAUUCGUAACAUUAAUUGGUUAAGUAAAACCAUACGUCAAUGAUCAAUCACCAACAUAUAAAGUCAACUUUUCUUGCUAUCAUCUCAACUUUGUGUGCGUACUUACGCCAAAAUGAUGUGUUCAGUUCGACUGGGUUCAAUUGAUUCUUUCUCUCCAUCUAUUUAAGAAAUUAGAAAGAAACGAAUUGGAUUCAGUUCUGUUCGUAGAUGCGCAUUGUAAAAGCAAGGCUAGCUAUGGAACGAAAUGAUUGAUCCCACAGCUAUCAGAUUCAUCUAAUCCCAACUUCUUUAAAUCUA